ensembl:processed_transcript Gm20713 predicted gene 20713
UUCAGACUUGCCCUCAGAAACUCUGAGCACUCAGGUUUCUGUAUGAAACCUGAGUAGAAGCUCUAAAGCAGCGUCUGCCUCUGUAACUUCGCCUUCCCAACAUCACACCAUCAGUAAUCAUCAACGUAACUAUUCCAUCAUCUUCCCAGAAAUCAGAGCUUGAGCUCAGAAAGAAGAAACUGUCCUCGUUCAUGUCCUGUGAAGAAGAUCAGAGGGAAGGAAGUAGAUAGGAACCCUGCACGGCACAGCUAGGAACUGACAAUUGUUCCUUCUCCUUCUCAGCACACUUGAACUACAACCAUCUUCAUCAUCACAAUCUCCACUAGAUUGCUCAAGCAUGCCGCCACCACUGCCUGGCUGAAGGAGCUCCCACUUGUUGGGCUUGGGUGAUCUACCCCGUAACAACUGAAGACAGACAACAAAAAUAUGUUUAU